GACCGGUUAGCUCAGUUGGUAGAGCGUCGGACUACCAUGCGGGAGGUCUCGGGUUCGAGUCCCAGACCGGACC
rnacentral:tRNA from 1 species